rnacentral:lncRNA from 1 species
UUUGUUUUCGUGCAUUGUCGGACCCUUCUCUUCUUCAUGAUGACUGUAUGUAUUGUACUAAUGUCACUCUGAUGUAGCUUGUGGAAAGUGUAAGAAAAUUCCAUAUACUCAUCUCUUCAGUACAUGUACUUGUAAUGAUAUCCAUUCUUGCAAAAUGACGGGAUGCACUUCUAUCCCUGUCAAGGCCCUCGCGCCAAAAUAAGGAUAGUAUCUAAUCUUGGGCGUUACAAAUACCUACAUGUCGUAGACUUCUAUGCCAUAGCCAACCUUUAGAUGAUUUUGCAAUAAGACAAGUACAAGGUGUGGCGAUCUGUUUUCAGAAAAUAAUUUCUAGAAAACAGGUUUUGUGUUCACCAGCCUCAGGACUACUGUUAGCUGGUGGACACUCGCUUGAUACAGAAUAUCCAAGAAAAAAUACAAAAUCUGGGUUACAAGACCAUGAAGGUCUACUUGUUUGAACAAGUCUGAAGUUGACGGCGGAAGCGACUCGAGGAAUUUCCAGUGCCCACGGGACUCCAUUCCCACAGGAACAAUGUCGGUGAAGGAUCGACAUCUACGGGGACCUCAACGGUCCCCUUUUUGCUGUGUUGGCGGGGAGAGGGAACGUGGCAAGAGCAGAACCAACA